rnacentral:rRNA from 1 species
UACGUAGGCAGCGAGCGUUGUUCGGAAUUACUGGGCGUAAAGAGUGUGUAGGCGGUGCUCUAAGUUCGGUGUGAAAUCUCCUGCUUAACUGGGAGGGUGCGCCGGAAACUGGAGUUGCUUGAGCGUGGGAGAGGAAAGCGGAAUUCCUGGUGUAGCGGUGAAAUGCGUAGAUAUCAGGAGGAACACCUGUGGUGUAGACGGCUUUCUGGACCAUUGCUGACACUGAGACACGAAAGCGUGGGUAGCAAACAGG